AUUGAACGCUGGCGGCAGGCCUAACACAUGCAAGUCGAACGAGUGGCGGACGGGUGAGUAAUGUCUGGGAAACUGACUGAUGGAGGGGGAUAAUUACUGGAAAAGGUAGCUAAUAACGCAUACCAUCGGAUGUGCCCAGAUGGGAUUAGCGAGUAGGUGGGGUAAAGGCUCACCUAGGGGACGAUCCCUAGCUGGUCUGGGAGGAUGACCAGCCACACUUGAACGGAGACACGGCCCAGACGCCUACGGGACGCAGCAGUGGGGAAUAUGGCAGAAUGGGCGCGAGCCUGAUGCAGACAGGCCGCGUGUGUGAAGAAGGCCUGCGGGUUGUAAAGCACUGUCAGCGAGGAGGCGUUACUCGCAGAAGAAGCACCGGCUAACUCCGUGCCAGCAGCCGCGGUAAUAC
rnacentral:rRNA from 1 species